AUAUAAACUUCCUAAUUAAUAGAAACUUAAAAUUCCUCAUUUUACAAUGAAAAAUUAAAUCACAACAAUAAUAAAAGUUGAUUUGCUCGACUGCAUCUGUAUUGUUCCUUUAGCUGUUGUGGCAGCAUAGCAUGAUCAGUGUUUAUGACCAAGUAUCUGUUCACUGCCAUAAGGCAUAAUGUUAAAAUAGAAUUGCAUGUGAGAGCCACAAUGUGGCAUUCAAAGUUCCUUUGCUUGAAAAUUAAUUUUGAAAUCCAGACUGGAAAAUAAUUGGAGUUGCUGGAGAUUUGUUAGAAGAAGCAAAUAGAAGUUUCAUUCUCGUACUCUUUUGUUUCUUUUUCCUCGCAAGACUUUUCAGGAUUAUUGUAUAUCACUUGCAAACAUGGGAAUUAUAAACAAAAUUUUCAAGUAAUUUUUGCUUAUUGAUGCAGGGGAUGAGGCGCAGAAUUCAG
rnacentral:misc_RNA from 1 species